ACAAACGCUGGCGGCAUGCCUCACACAUGCAAGUCGAACGGACAGAACAGGGAAGCUUUUCGGAGUGGAACUGGAAAGUUAGUGGCGGAUGGGUGAGUAACGCGUGGACAACCUACCUUGUAAAGGGGAAUAACCUCGAGAAAUCGAAGCUAAUACCCCAUAAUAACCUUGCUUCGCAUGAAGUAAGGAGGAAAGGCGGCCUUAGCGCUGUCGAUACAAGAUGGGUCCGCGUCUGAUUAGCUAGUUGGUGAGGUAAAGGCUCACCAAGGCGACGAUCAGUAGCCGGCCUGAGAGGGUGAACGGCCACAUUGGGACUGAGACACGGCCCAAACUCCUACGGGAGGCAGCAGUGGGGAAUCUUCCGCAAUGGGCGAAAGCCUGACGGAGCAAUGCCGCGUGAGUGAAGAAGGCCUUCGGGUUGUAAAACUCUGUCCUUAUCGAAGAGAGAGUGUUGUAGUAACUGACAAUACUAGGACGGUAGAUGAGGAGGAAGCCCCGGCUAACUAUGUG
rnacentral:rRNA from 1 species